UCUUGACAUCCUUUGAAAACCCUAGAGAUAGGGCUUUCCUUCGGGAGCAGAGUGACAGGUGGUGCAUGGUUGUCGUCAGCUCGUGUCGUGAGAUGUUGGGUUAAGUCCCGCAACGAGCGCAACCCUUGAUCUUAGUUGCCAUCAUUAAGUUGGGCACUCUAAGGUGACUGCCGGUGACAAACCGGAGGAAGGUGGGGAUGACGUCAAAUCAUCAUGCCCCUUAUGACCUGGGCUACACACGUGCUACAAUGGACGGUACAAAGAGCUGCAAGACCGCGAGGUGGAGCUAAUCUCAUAAAACCGUUCUCAGUUCGGAUUGUAGGCUGCAACUCGCCUACAUGAAGCUGGAAUCGCUAGUAAUCGCGGAUCAG
rnacentral:rRNA from 1 species